UCGAUCCGGUCGACAACGUACAAACAAUAAACAAACUUCAAAUCUUUAUCUAUUUCUAAAAUAAAAAUUGAUUUCUUGGCCCGGCAAGCUACUUAGCCCCAAACCUUCAAUUAUUCACCCACCUUACCAUUCCCCGACAUGUGGGUCCCAACGUGUCCGCACCUCCUCCCUCUCUCUCGUUGCCGUCCGACUCGCGGCCCUCACCUCCCGUCGCUUCUGGGCACCGCAGCCCCAACCUCCUCCGCCUUAGAGUAGAUUAGGUCGCAGUCAUAUAUGCCCUCGCCGAUGGCUCCUUCACCCUCGCCCACCACCUGCCUGCCUCCGUCCAGGUCGCCCAACUCCUCCGUGGCUUCGUUUUCCAUCAUUGCUCACUGCUUCCAUGUCGUCCCAGACUCCAAAUCCUCCAUCUCCUCUGACCGUGAGGAUCUGCAUCGUGAUCCUUUUUAACUUGUUGAGUUUACAGAUGGAGGACAAGUAGCUGAGGAUCUGCAAAGGACCAAAGAUACAAGAUCAGGGAGCAGGAUAGACUACCGCCUGGUGCUGGUUUGCGGAAAUAGAAGGCGUGCACUGCUCCGGCUUGAAGGAGGUUCAUGGAUACGCUGCUGAUGUGGGCCUAUUAGGUGGAAAUUCAGAGGAGGGCAAAUAACUGAUGCUUGUGCUGCUAUUUUAUUGGAUUGAGGAGAGAAGACGCAUGGCGUGCAGCUGCUUGUUGUGCUGCUUCGGUUUUUGGUGAAAGAAUCGUGCAGGCAAAUUGAUGGGCAGGAGCUGUUGUUUGAUUCGAUGGAGGGAGGAGCUGGUGGACCUGCAGCUUGGUGGAGCUUGGAUGUUUCUCUAGCUGCAAAGAUUUUCUAUCUUAAGGUGGAUGUGCUCAACUGUUUUACGAUGUUGAAAAGCUCUAAAGUUGAAGAUGGGUCAAGUAUGACUGUUGGGAUCGCCACCUCCGAACCCUUGAGUCGGAGGUUAUGCGCGGGCUACAAAGGGAAAGCAGCUUGGAUGACCAAAGGUCUCUGGCGGACAGAGAAGCUAGCUGUAGAACCGAAGCGUCCUGACUUCCGAAGGUGUCGCUAUCUAGUCGGAGACACAAGCGCAGUCAACACAUGGGGAUUGGAUCGGAGGUCACCUUCGGGGUUACAAGAAGCGGGAUUUAGUAGGAGUGGACAAAUUGUACAAUCCAAGUAUUGGAAAUAACCUUUUUGAUUGGAAUAACCGGAGAUAUUCCGGCCAGACAGGAGUAUUUUGAGAAUCAUGUAACAGAGAUAGAGUAGUAUAAAUAUUAAAUACCCUUCCUUUUUAUUGUAAUCUUAUUGUAAUCGGAUGAUUUUUUAGAGAUUUUGUCGGUCAUAUAAGAUUUUUGGCUGAGUUCA